rnacentral:rRNA from 1 species
CCUACGGGAUGCUGCAGUGGGGAAUAUUGCACAAUGGGGGAAACCCUGAUGCAGCGACGCCGCGUGAGUGAAGAAGUAAUUCGUUACGUAAAGCUCUAUCAGCAGGGAAGAAACACUGACCUUACGGUCAGCCGACGGUACCUGAGUAAGAAGCCACGGCUAACUACGUGCCAGCAUCCGCGGUAAUACGUAGGGGGCAAGCGGUUUCCGGAUUUACUGGGUGUAAAGGGGGCGUAGACGGUGCGCCAAGUCUGGAGUGAAAGGCCGCAGCUUAACUGCGGAACUGCUUUGGAUAAUGGCGAACGAGAGUGCGGGAGGGGUAAGCGGAAUUCCUAGUGUAGCGGUGAAAUGCGUAGAUAGUAGGAGGAACACCGGUGGCGAAGGCGGCUUACUGGACCGUAACUGACGUUGAGGCUCGAAAGCGUGGGGAGCAAACAGGAUUAGAUACCCCAGUAGUC